UAGUCCACGCCGUAAACGAUGAUUACUCGCUGUAGGCGAUACACAGUCUGUGGCUAAGCGAAAGUUUUAAGUAAUCCACCUGGGGAGUACGAUCGCAAGAUUGAAACUCAAAGGAAUUGACGGGGGCCCGCACAAGCGGAGGAACAUGUGGCUUAAUUCGAUGCUACGCGAAGAACCUUACCUAGAUUUGACAUCCUGUGCUACCCUGUGAAAGCAGGGGUUCCUUCGGGACGCAGUGACAGGUGCUGCAUGGCUGUCGUCAGCUCGUGUUGUGAGAUGUUGGGUUAAGUCCCGCAACGAGCGCAACCCUCGUCGUUAGUUACCAUCAUUAAGUUGGGCACUCUAACGAUACCGCUAGGCUAUAAGCCAGAGGAAGGUGGGGAUGACGUCAAGUCCUCAUGGCCUUUAUAUCUAGGGCUACACACGUGCUACAAUGGGAUAGGACAAAGCGCAGCUAACUCGCGAGAGUGUGCCAAUCGCAAAAACCUACCCUCAGUUCGG
rnacentral:rRNA from 1 species